AUAUUGGACAAUGGGGGCAACCCUGACCCAGCCAUGCCGCGGGUGUUAAGAAGGUCUUCGGAUGGUAAAGCACGGUAAGGUGGGAGGAAGGGCUUUAGGUUAAUACCCUGAAGUUUUGACGUUACCAACGGAAUAACCACCGGCUAACUCUGUGCCAGCAGCAGCGGUAAUACAUAGGGUGCAAGCGUUAAUCGGAAUUACUGGGCGUAAAGCGCGCGUAGGUGGUUCAGUAAGAUGGGUGUGAAAUCCCCGGGCUUAACCUGGGAACUGCUUUCAUAACUGCUGAGCUAGAGUACGGUAGAGGGUAGUGGAAUUUCCUGUGUAGCGGUGAAAUGCGUAGAUAUAGGAAGGAACACCAGUGGCGAAGGCGACUACCUGGACUGAUACUGACACUGAGGUGCGAAAGCGUGGGGAGCAAAC
rnacentral:rRNA from 1 species